UGUCAUCUGUUGAAAGAAUUCAGAGGAAGC
rnacentral:piRNA from 1 species